UACAGAGGUCCCAAGCGUUGUUCGGAUUCACUGGGCGUAAAGGGUGCGUAGGCGGUCGGGUAAGUCUGAUGUGAAAUCUCACAGCUUAACUGUGAAACUGCAUUGGAUACUAUCCGGCUAGAGGAAUGGAGGGGAGACUGGAAUACUUGGUGUAGCAGUGAAAUGCGUAGAUAUCAAGUGGAACACCACUGGCGAAGGCGAGUCUCUGGACAUUUCCUGACGCUGAGGCACGAAAUCCAGGGGAGCAAACGGG
rnacentral:rRNA from 1 species